UGGUGGGGUGACUGCGUACCUUUUGUAUAAUGGGUCAGCGACUUAUAUUCUGUAGCAAGGUUAACCGUAUAGGGGAGCCGGAGGGAAACCGAGUCUUAAUUGGGCGUUAAGUUGCAGGGUAUAGACCCGAAACCCGGUGAUCUAGCCAUGGGCAGGUUGAAGGUUGGGUAACACUAACUGGAGGACCGAACCGACUAAUGUUGAAAAAUUAGCGGAUGACCUGUGGCUGGGGGUGAAAGGCCAAUCAAACCGGGAGAUAGCUGGUUCUCCCCGAAAGCUAUUUAGGUAGCGCCUCGUGAAUUCAUCUCCGGGGGUAGAGCACUGUUUCGGCUAGGGGGCCAUCCCGGCUUACCAACCCGAUGCAAACUGCGAAUACCGGAGAAUGUUAUCACGGGAGACACACGGCGGGUGCUAACGUCCGUCGUGAAGAGGGAAACAACCCAGACCGCCAGCUAAGGUCCCAAAGUCAUGGUUAAGUGGGAAACGAUGUGGGAAGGCCCAGACAGCCAGGAUGUUGGCUUAGAAGCAGCCAUCAUUUAAAGAAAGCGUAAUAGCUCACUGGUCGAGUCGGCCUGCGCGGAAGAUGUAACGGGGCUAAACCAUGCACCGAAGCUGCGGCAGCG
rnacentral:rRNA from 1 species